AUUGAACGCUGGCGGCAUGCCUUACACAUGCAAGUCGAACGGCAGCACGGGUGCUUGCACCUGGUGGCGAGUGGCGAACGGGUGAGUAAUACAUCGGAACAUGUCCUGUAGUGGGGGAGAGCCCGGCGAAAGCCGGAUUAAUACCGCAUACGAUCUACGGAUGAAAGCGGGGGACCUUCGGGCCUCGCGCUAUAGGGUUGGCAGAUGGCUGAUUAGCUAGUUGGUGGGGUAAAGGCCUACCAAGGCGACGAUCAGUAGCUGGUCUGAGAGGACGACCAGCCACACUGGCACUGAGACACGGCCCAGACUCCUACGGGAGGCAGCAGUGGGGAAUUUUGGACAAUGGGCGAAAGCCUGAUCCAGCAAUGCCGCGUGUGUGAAGAAGGCCUUCGGGUUGUAAAGCACUUUUGUCCGGAAAGAAAUCCUUGGCCCUAAUACGGUCGGGGGAUGACGGUACCGGAAGAAUAAGCACCGGCUAACUACGUG
rnacentral:rRNA from 1 species